UCCAUUAGCGUAUUGCCUUUGGCAUUGAG
rnacentral:sRNA from 1 species